ensembl:lncRNA
GGAGCUGGGAUUGUUCAGUCUGGAGAAGAGGAGGCUCGGGGGAGACCUUAUUGCUCUCUAUAACUACCUGAAGGGAGGUUGUAGUCAGCUGGCAGUCAGCCUCUUCUCUUGUGUGACUAGUGAUAGGACUAGAGGGAAUGGCUUCAAGCUGCACCAGGGAAGAUUCAGGCUGGACGUUAGGAAAUACUACUUCUCUGAAAGGGUGGUCAGGCACUGGAAUGGGCUGCCCAGGGAGGUGGUGGAGUCACCGAGCCUGGUGGUGUUCAAAAACCAUUUGGAUGUUGUGUUGAGGGACAUGGUUUAGCGGGAACCAUUGGUGAAGGGCGAAUGGUUGGACUGGAUGAUCCUGUGGGUCUUUUCCAACCUUAG